UACGUAGGUGGCAAGCGUUGUCCGGAUUUAUUGGGUUUAAAGGGUGCGUAGGCGGCCCUGUAAGUCAGUGCUGAAAUAUCCCGGCUUAACCGGGAGGGUGGCAUUGAUACUGCGGGGCUAGAGUACAGAUGAGGUAGGCGGAAUUGACGGUGUAGCGGUGAAAUGCUUAGAUAUCGUGAGGAACACCAGAGGCGAAGGCGGUUACCUGGACAGUUACUGACGCUCAGGCACGAAAGCAUGGGGAGCAAAAGGG
rnacentral:rRNA from 1 species